rnacentral:rRNA from 1 species
UACGUGAGGGGCGAACGUUGUUCGGGGUCACUGGGCUUAAAGGGUGCGUAGGCGGUCUGGAAAGUUGGGUGUGAAAUCCCUCGGCCUAACCGAGGAACUGCGCUUGAAACUACCAGACUCGAGGGAGAUAGAGGAAAGCGGAACUGAUGGUGGAGCGGUGAAAUGCGUUGAUAUCAUCAGGAACACCGGUGGCGAAGGCGGCUUUCUGGGUCUUACCUGACGCUGAGGAACGAAAGCCAGGGGAGCGAACGGG